rnacentral:rRNA from 1 species
AGUGAACGCUGGCGGUAGGCCUAACACAUGCAAGUCGAACGGCAGCACAGUAAGAGCUUGCUCUUACGGGUGGCGAGUGGCGGACGGGUGAGGAAUACAUCGGAAUCUACUUUUUCGUGGGGGAUAACGUAGGGAAGCUUACGCUAAUACCGCAUACGACCUACGGGUGAAAGCAGGGGAUCUUCGGACCUUGCGCGAUUGAAUGAGCCGAUGUCGGAUUAGCUAGUUGGCGGGGUAAAGGCCCACCAAGGCGACGAUCCGUAGCUGGUCUGAGAGGAUGAUCAGCCACACUGGAACUGAGACACGGUCCAGACUCCUACGGGAGGCAGCAGUGGGGAAUAUUGGACAAUGGGCGCAAGCCUGAUCCAGCCAUACCGCGUGGGUGAAGAAGGCCUUCGGGUUGUAAAGCCCUUUUGUUGGGAAAGAAAAGCAGCAGGUUAAGACCCCGCUGUUCUGACGGUACCCAAAGAAUAAGCACCGGCGAACUUCGU